rnacentral:lncRNA from 1 species
CCAAGCUCAGCUUUGAAAGUCCUUCAUUAAUUAAGCAUAUCCUCAAUUGGUAGAUCCAGAUUUUCUGUUGUAAACAGGAGGAGCUAUGGAGCUGGAGAAAGCUAGCCAUGUAAAGCAGAUGCAGACUAGGUUAACUGUGCCAACAGAGUAUCAGUUGUCUGAACAUGGUCAUGGCAGGAUGUAAAGUGAAUAUGUAAAAAAAUUAAGUUAAAAAACAAACAAACAUGGAAUUGCGUGUGAGGAGAUUUCUGAGUGAGAAAACUAAGAAACGAAGACAAAAGUCUGGUGACCUGAGUUUCUUCAGAAACAAGGAAUUGUUCUUGGAUUAUGCUUUUGCGCCCCUUUCAGGUGUAGCACAAAAGAAUGAACUGUCUCUGAGGUAUUGAAAUCACCUCCUAUUACUGAAAUGGGAAUAAAUUUGUACCUUGACAUCUAAUACUUUGAUUUUUAUGAAACUGGAUGUAUCAGAGGUUGGUACGUACAUGUUUAGGAUUGUAAUGUCUUCUUUGUUAAUUGUUCUUUUGAUCAAAGUGAAGUGUCAUUCUAUAUCUCUUCUGAAUAAUUUUAGAUUGACAUUUAUAUUGUCAUGUAUUAGGAUAGCAGCAACUUUUUGUUUCUUGGUCCUAUUUGCUUGGACUAAUUUUUUUUCAUACUUCACUCUCAAGUAGCACCAAUCCUUGAAGUUAAGAUGAGGGGUUUUUUUUCCAAGAAAACAAAAAAAAUGUUUUGUUUGUUGAUUUAUUCAACCAACCUCUGUCUUUCUAUUGGGGGAAAUUAAGGCCAUUAAUAUUUAAAGUAAGGUGUGUGACAAUUGCUGUCAUUUUGCUCUUUAAUUUUGCUAUUUCUGUUCUUAGUUUUAUUUUGUGCUUUGAUAAUUAUAACUUCAUUUGUUUUCUUCCCAGAGUCUCCUGAGUAUGAUUACUUAUUUUCUCUCUAGUCCAAAUAUUGCUCCCAGUAGUCUCUGUAGUGCUAGAUUGCUGGGUAUGAGUUCUUUCAGAUCGGUUUACAUGGUAAGUUGGUAUUUUUUUUCCUUCAACUAUGGCAGAUAGUUUUGCUGGGUAAAGUGGUCUGUAUUGCCAUCUGUAGUCUUUUAGAACUUGGAAUAUAUUAUUCCCAGUCUGCUGGCUUUAAAACUUUCCAUUGAGAAGUCAGUACUUAUUCUAAUGGGUUUGCCUUCAUGUGAGACUUGAGAUUUUUCUAUGAGGAAAAGGAGAAAGAGGCAUCCCAUGAUUUGAAGUGAGUUAAGAAACUGUGGGGGGAAAGGGUGUCCUGAGGAAGAUUUAGACUAACCAUGGAAAUGAAACUCUGGACAUGUUUGUGAGGGAUUUUCUACUUUAUGUUAGUUGAACUGAGAAGACCCACCCUAAAUAUGAGUGGUUCCAUUCCAUGGGCUGAUGUUCCAGACUGAAUAAAACAAAGAAAGGGAGCUGAGCACCAGUAUUUAUCUCUAUCUCCUGACUGCAGGUGCAAGAUAUCCAGCUACCUCAAGUUCCUGAUUCCACAUCCCCACACCUUGAUGGACUCUGAUUUUGAGUCAAAAUAAACCCUUCUUUCCUUAAGUUGAUUUUGUUAUGCAUUUUGACACAGCAAAAGACACAAACCCAACACAAAAUAUUUCCUCUCAAAUAGGCAAUAUAUUUGUACUGAGAUGCAUUAUUCUCUGAAAACAACAAACAGCAAAACAGAACACACGACAGAAGAUUGGAGAAGAGAGAUUAACAGGCAAAUUUAUUCUAAACAUGUUAUAUAUGAAUGCAUGGAAUUUUCAAACAAUAAAAAAUAAUUAUUUGAAAAAAG